UACACUCCUGCGGGAGGCAGCAGUGGGGAAUUUUGGACAAUGGGCGAAAGCCUGAUCCAGCAAUGCCGCGAGAGUGAAGAAGGCCUUCGGGUUGUAAAGCUCUUUUGUCAGGGAAGAAACGGUGAAAGCUAAUAUCUUUUGCUAAUGACGGUACCUGAAGAAUAAGCACCGGCUAACUACGUGCCAGCAGCCGCGGUAAUACGUAGGGUGCAAGCGUUAAUCGGAAUUACUGGGCGUAAAGCGUGCGCAGGCGGUUUUGUAAGUCUGAUGUGAAAUCCCCGGGCUCAACCUGGGAAUUGCAUUGGAGACUGCAAGGCUAGAAUCUGGCAGAGGGGGGUAGAAUUCCACGUGUAGCAGUGAAAUGCGUAGAUAUGUGGAGGAACACCGAUGGCGAAGGCAGCCCCCUGGGUCAAGAUUGACGCUCAUGCACGAAAGCGUGGGGAGCAAACAGGAUUAGAAACCCGUGUAGUCCCAU
rnacentral:rRNA from 1 species